AGUUUUUUUUAGUUUAUUUAUUGCGGCUCUGGAGGCUUUACUUGGUUUGACAGGUGAUUGCCAACAUUGCCACUUAAAAAUUAAAUAAAAUUGUGGAAGUAGGAUUUCCUGCACUGGUCACAUUCGAUAGGGUCAGUGGUCGUUUUGAUGUCUUUUAGUAGAUUGUCUGAGGGACAUCUCUACGUCGAUCUAUGGCUUUUCCCAUCUCUACGAUGAUGAUGGACGGCUGUCAUAGACUCAGGAAGUCACUUUCUUUGACGGUUCUUAAAGGAUAACAUCAUGGACUAAAUAAUCCAAUUUAAUCUUUCAUAAUUAUGGGCAGUAUGCCCUAAUAUUUUGUUAAAAUGUACUGUAAACAUUCAACAGUAAUAAUUUAUCUUGGAUGAGUUUGUUUUUCUACUAAAAAUUGAUACACGUGUGGUUGUAUUUUUUUCAUUGGAAUUACAUGUCGUAUUUUGGUCUGUUACAGGAUUUUCCCCUUUUAACCUUACGAUGGGCGUCUUGUUGAUGUUCCCUAUUAUUUAUCUAAAUUUGCCUUAAAAAACGCUUUCCGCGUUUUUUUACUAUGGAUCAAUAUUUGUUUUUUUAUGGAACAAUGUUCUUUUGGAAGUUUUUUAAUGGAACAAUUUCAUAAUGUAUCCAAUUUAAAUGGGUAAACCUACAUUUACUGCAAUUUUCUGCACCACGACCCUCCGCGAGGACCUGCUUUAUGGGACCAGUGGUGAAGAGUGUUCUGUGGUCUUCAUUAAUAAUACUUAGCUAACUUUAGUUAUUUCAUGACUCUGGUAUGUAUUUCUAACUUAAUUCCAGUGAUGAUGCAAUAAUGACCAAAGGUAUUUUUAUGUU